rnacentral:rRNA from 1 species
AGAGUUUGAUCCUGGCUCAGAUUGAACGCUGGCGGCAUGGCUAAAACAUGCAAGUCGAACGCGAAAGGGGCUUCGGCCCCGAGUAGAGUGGCGAACGGGCGAGUAAUACUUUGCUAACGUACCCCAAGGUCGGGGAUAGCGGCUGGAAACGGCCGGUAAUACCCGAUGACCCCCGCGGGCCGCAUGGCCUGCGGGGCAAAGGCUUGCUGCCUUGGGAUCGGGCAAAGCGCUAUCAGCUUGUUGGUGAGGUAACGGCUCACCAAGGCAAAGACGGCUAGCGGGUGUGAGAGCAUGACCCGCCGCAUCGGGACUGAGACACUGCCCGGACUCCUACGGGAGGCUGCAGUAACGAAUCUUCCGCAAUGCGCGAAAGCGUGACGGAGCAAUGCCGCGUGAAGGAUGAAGCCCCUCGGGGUGUAAACUUCUGUCAGGGUUUAGGAAUUCUGACCAAACCCAAAGGAAGGACCGGUUAACUUCGUGCCAGCAGCCGCGGUAAGACGAAGGGUCCAAGCGUUAAUCGGAAUCACUGGGCUUAAAGCGUGCGCAGGCGGGCCUGUAAGUACCUUGUGAAAUACCACCGCUCAACGGUGGAAUGGCAGGGUAUACUGCAGGCCUUGAGGCCGGUAGAGGUUGCCGGAACUGUAGGUGUAGCGGUGAAAUGCGUAGAUAUCUACAGGAACACCAAAGACGAAGGUAGGCAACUGGGCCGGUUCUGACGCUCAGGCACGAAAGCGUGGGGAGCAAACAGGAUUAGAUACCCUGGUAGUCCACGCCGUAAACGAUGUGCACUAGAUUCGAGAGGCUCUGACGCCAUUCGGGUCGAAGCAAAAGUGUUAAGUGCACCGCCUGGGGAGUACGGUCGCAAGGCUAAAACUCAAAGGAAUUGACGGGGGCUCACACAAGCGGUGGAGCAUGUGGCUUAAUUCGAAGCAACGCGAAGAACCUUAUCCUGGGUUUGACAUGCACGGAUACCCUCGCCGAAAGGCGAGUAAGUUGCCCAUUCGGGUGAAACGUGCACAGGUGCUGCAUGGCUGUCGUCAGCUCGUGCUGUGAAGUGUUGGGUUAAGUCCCUUAACGAGCGAAACCCCUGUCGCUAGUUGCUGACAGGUCUCCGGACGCUGAGGACUCUAGCGAGACUGCCGGUGUCAAACCGGAGGAAGGCGGGGAUGACGUCAAGUCCUCAUGGCCUUUAUGCCCAGGGCUGCACACGUGCUACAAUGGCGUGAACAGAGCGACGCAAUACCGUAAGGUGGAGCAAAUCGCAAAAAUCACGCCCCAGUUCGGAUCGAGGUCUGCAACUCGACCUCGUGAAGGUGGAAUCGCUAGUAAUCGCGCAUCAGCAAUGGCGCGGUGAAUACGUUCCUGAGCCUUGUACACACCGCCCGUCAAGUCAUGGAAGCCGGGAGUGCCCGAAGUCGCACCGUUUCAGGUGUGCCUACGGCAAGCUCGGUGACUGGGACUAAGUCGUAACAAGG